rnacentral:snRNA from 1 species
GUACUCACUUUGGCAGCACAUAUAUUAAAAUUGGAAAGAUACAGAGAAGAUUAGCAUGGCCCCUGCACAAGGGUGACAUGCAAAUUCAUGAAGCAUUCCACAUUUUA